rnacentral:rRNA from 1 species
UGCAGUCGAACGAUGAACCUCCUUCGGGAGGGGAUUAGUGGCGAACGGGUGAGUAACACGUGGGCAAUCUGCCCUGCACUCUGGGACAAGCCCUGGAAACGGGGUCUAAUACCGGAUACGACUCGGGAGGGCAUCCUUCCGGGUGGAAAGCUCCGGCGGUGCAGGAUGAGCCCGCGGCCUAUCAGCUUGUUGGUGGGGUGAUGGCCUACCAAGGCGACGACGGGUAGCCGGCCUGAGAGGGCGACCGGCCACACUGGGACUGAGACACGGCCCAGACUCCUACGGGAGGCAGCAGUGGGGAAUAUUGCACAAUGGGCGAAAGCCUGAUGCAGCGACGCCGCGUGAGGGAUGACGGCCUUCGGGUUGUAAACCUCUUUCAGCAGGGAAGAAGCGCAAGUGACGGUACCUGCAGAAGAAGCGCCGGCUAACUACGUGCCAGCAGCCGCGGUAAUACGUAGGGCGCAAGCGUUGUCCGGAAUUAUUGGGCGUAAAGAGCUCGUAGGCGGCUUGUCGCGUCGGAUGUGAAAGCUCGGGGCUUAACCCCGGGUCUGCAUUCGAUACGGGCAGGCUAGAGUGUGGUAGGGGAGAUCGGAAUUCCUGGUGUAGCGGUGAAAUGCGCAGAUAUCAGGAGGAACACCGGUGGCGAAGGCGGAUCUCUGGGCCAUUACUGACGCUGAGGAGCGAAAGCGUGGGGAGCGAACAGGAUUAGAUACCCUGGUAGUCCACGCCGUAAACGUUGGGAACUAGGUGUUGGCGACAUUCCACGUCGUCGG